CACACAUGGACAACAGUGCUGUUCACUGGGUAGGAAGGGCAACAACACACAUGAAGCAAUGGGAAGUGAUCCUGUGAGAGCAUUAUUUUGAAGGAAUCCAGUCAUAUUCAAGAGGAACAGCAGUACAACCUGGAAAACCAACUCACAGCUCCUGUGAGCCGCACCUGCUCUGGAGCUCCAGUGAGCUGUGCGGUUUGGUCUAGAGCAGCAAUCCUAACAUGCAAGGAGUUUUUGGAAGGUUGUAAUGGAUUCUAGUGCUUCACAUUCACUUCCCCGAGCCUGACUUGAAGUUUCACUUCAUUGAUAUUAUAUGGUUUUG
ensembl:lncRNA